CGAAGUCUGUGGCAACCGCAUACUGUGGAGUUAGAAGUGGCAUACAGAUCUCUGACUCCAAAAUCACAAGCAAUUUUCUAUUCCAAGAUUAGCUUCUCGUGUUUUCUCCUCCCAUUUCUUCGCAAUCCCAUUUUAAGCUACUCAUACAUUUCCUGUAUUCAAAUCUCUCCCCUGUUUGCUCCUCCCUUUCUUACCUCGCCAGCCUUCGGUUUUCUUCACUUCCCAUUUUGUUUUCUUCUUCCUUGCAUAUUGGGACUGGUACGAAGUCUUGAAUCUUGUUCGUUUUGACAUCUAGGUACCUUUGGUUCUUCUUUUUUGGCUACCUCUCUGCCUCUGGGAAAGUAGUUUUGCCUUUUCACAAUGCCAUAAAUCUUUUUUAAAGAUUCCAAACACCCA
rnacentral:misc_RNA from 1 species